rnacentral:rRNA from 1 species
GACGAACGCUGGCGGCGUGCUUAACACAUGCAAGUCGAACGGAAAGGCCCUGCUUUUGUGGGGUGCUCGAGUGGCGAACGGGUGAGUAACACGUGAGUAACCUGCCCUUGACUUUGGGAUAACUUCAGGAAACUGGUGCUAAUACCGGAUAGGAGCUCCUGCUGCAUGGUGGGGGUUGGAAAGUUUCGGCGGUUGGGGAUGGACUCGCGGCUUAUCAGCUUGUUGGUGGGGUAGUGGCUUACCAAGGCUUUGACGGCUAGCCGACCUGAGAGGGGGACCGGCCACAUGGGGACUGAGAGACGGCGCAGACUCGUACGGGAGGCAGCAGUGGGGAAUAUUGCACAAUGGGCGGAAGCCUGAUGCAGCAACGCCGCGUGCGGGAUGACGGCCUUCGGGUUGUAAACCGCUUUCGCCUGUGACGAAGCGUGAGUGACGGUAAUGGGUAAAGAAGCACCGGCUAACUACGUG